rnacentral:rRNA from 1 species
AGUCGAACGAGUUCUGAUUAUUGAAAGGUGCUUGCAUCUUGAUUUAAUUUUGAACGAGUGGCGGACGGGUGAGUAACACGUGGGUAACCUGCCCUUAAGUGGGGGAUAACAUUUGGAAACAGAUGCUAAUACCGCAUAAAUCCAAGAACCGCAUGGUUCUUGGCUGAAAGAUGGCGUAAGCUAUCGCUUUUGGAUGGACCCGCGGCGUAUUAGCUAGUUGGUGAGGUAACGGCUCACCAAGGCAAUGAUACGUAGCCGAACUGAGAGGUUGAUCGGCCACAUUGGGACUGAGACACGGCCCAAACUCCUACGGGAGGCAGCAGUAGGGAAUCUUCCACAAUGGACGCAAGUCUGAUGGAGCAACGCCGCGUGAGUGAAGAAGGCUUUCGGGUCGUAAAACUCUGUUGUUGGAGAAGAAUGGUCGGCAGAGUAACUGUUGUCGGCGUGACGGUAUCCAACCAGAAAGCCACGGCUAACUACGUGCCAGCAGCCGCGGUAAUACGUAGGUGGCAAGCGUUAUCCGGAUUUAUUGGGCGUAAAGCGAGCGCAGGCGGUUUUUUAAGUCUGAUGUGAAAGCCCUCGGCUUAACCGAGGAAGUGCAUCGGAAACUGGGAAACUUGAGUGCAGAAGAGGACAGUGGAACUCCAUGUGUAGCGGUGAAAUGCGUAGAUAUAUGGAAGAACACCAGUGGCGAAGGCGGCUGUCUGGUCUGUAACUGACGCUGAGGCUCGAAAGCAUGGGUAGCGAACAGGAUUAGAUACCCUGGUAGUCCAUGCCGUAAACGAUGAAUGCUAGGUGUUGGAGGGUUUCCGCCCUUCAGUGCCGCAGCUAACGCAUUAAGCAUUCCGCCUGGGGAGUACGACCGCAAGGUUGAAACUCAAAGGAAUUGACGGGGGCCCGCACAAGCGGUGGAGCAUGUGGUUUAAUUCGAAGCAACGCGAAGAACCUUACCAGGUCUUGACAUCUUUUGAUCACCUGAGAGAUCAGGUUUCCCCUUCGGGGGCAAAAUGACAGGUGGUGCAUGGUUGUCGUCAGCUCGUGUCGUGAGAUGUUGGGUUAAGUCCCGCAACGAGCGCAACCCUUAUGACUAGUUGCCAGCAUUUAGUUGGGCACUCUAGUAAGACUGCCGGUGACAAACCGGAGGAAGGUGGGGAUGACGUCAAAUCAUCAUGCCCCUUAUGACCUGGGCUACACACGUGCUACAAUGGAUGGUACAACGAGUUGCGAGACCGCGAGGUCAAGCUAAUCUCUUAAAGCCAUUCUCAGUUCGGACUGUAGGCUGCAACUCGCCUACACGAAGUCGGAAUCGCUAGUAAUCGCGGAUCAGCACGCCGCGGUGAAUACGUUCCCGGGCCUUGUACACACCGCCCGUCACACCAUGAGAGUUUGUAACACCCGAAGCCGGUGGCGUAACCCUUUUAGGGAGCGAGCCGUCU